AAGACAACACGGCCCUGGACACAGCGAGGUCAGAAACCAGACGCAGCAGGGACUGCGCGGGCUGGGAAGGCUGGGCCCUCCAGCUGGGAGAGGGUUGCCUGGAGAGAAGGAAGUCCCCAGGCUGCCAGCGACCUGCUGCUCCUUCCCAAGCCCAGGAUUUCCCAAAGCAGCUUUUCCCUUCCAGACGCUGGGGUGCAGGGCCCAAGACUUCCCAAAACAGCUUUUCCCAUCCAGAGGCUGGGGUGUAGGGCCCAUGACGGUUCUGCUUUAGUGUCGGGGAUGAAAGAGAGGGAAAAAGGGCUGGGAGAGAAACAGAGAAACAGAAAGAAAGAAACAGACAGAAGACACAGAGACACAGAGAGAGGAAAGAGACAGAGACAGAAAGAGAGCAGAGAGAGACAGACACAGAGAGAGAGAGGCCCGGGGAAGAGAGACACACAGAGAGAGAAAAGAAAUAAAAAGCAGGGGUGUGGAGUGGGGCGCUUAGCG
rnacentral:lncRNA from 1 species